CAGUCGCCGCGGGAAUACGAAGGGGGCUAGCGUUGUUCGGAAUCACUGGGCGUAAAGCGCACGUAGGCGGAUACUUAAGUCAGGGGUGAAAUCCCGGGGCUCAACCUCGGAACUGCCUUUGAUACUGGGUAUCUUGAGUCCGGGAGAGGUUGGUGGAACUCCGAGUGUAGAGGUGAAAUUCGUAGAUAUUCGGAAGAACACCAGUGGCGAAGGCGGCCAACUGGCCCGGUACUGAUGCUGAGGUGCGAAAGCGUGGGGAGCAAACAGGAUUAGAUACCCGUGUAGUCCCUGUCUCUUAUAC
rnacentral:rRNA from 1 species